UUAUCACCCUAAUGACAAAUAAAUUUGGUCGUGGUGAUAUAAUUACAGUUAUAUUUAUUUCUAUCUUACCUUGUUUCUCAGAUUUCUUCAAUAAGUAUCUUUAGCAGCAUGUCCCAAGACACCUCCAAGGACUCCUCACAUUCAUGCUGAAGAGCCCUCCAGAGACCACCAAACGUAUCUUGAGAUCAUCAGGCCCACAAAAAGGAGUAAUUUCUGACCAGCAGCCAGCACUAAAGGCCCAAGGUCCUGCUGACCCACCACUUCCUUCCUUCACCCCAAUCUAGGCUACACCCACUUGCUACUGACCUGAGUUGCCCUGCCACCCAGUCUCCACUUUCCUGCUUCUCUUUGAGGACACAGUCUGUUCACAGGAUGUCCCUGCUGGAAGCAUUCACCUUCUUGUCCUUCUGGGCAUUUGGACUUGGGUUAUCAAAAUUGGAGCAGUCUCAGAUAUCCAUUUCCACAGAAGUAAAGAAAAGUGUUGACAUAUACUGCAAGGUAUCAAGCACAAAUUUUGAAAACGACAUCAUUCACUGGUACCGGCAAAAAUCGAAUCAGGCUUUGGAACAUCUGAUUUAUGUGAGCUCAACAAAAAGCCCAGCUCGAAGUAACCAAGGUGGGAAGAACAACAAAAUUGAGGCAAGAAAGAAUCCUCCAAGUCUCACUUCAAUGCUGACCAUAAAUUUCAUAGAAAAAGAAGAUGUGGCCAUUUACUACUGUGCUGGCUGGACUCACACUACUAGAACUGUUGAGACAACCCACACAAUAUCCACUACUUGGAUCUGUGCCCACCCACAUCCUUCCCAAUAGUGGCAACCACAACCAGUACCCCCCUCUCCAGCUGGGCUCCUGAAGUCAGCCUUGCCUUUUCUGCAGCAUUUCCUGAGCUCUUCAGAAAGUUGUCUUGGAUUAUGCUUGCACAUAGCUCCCAGUUAAUUCCAGGGGUUGUGUUUCCACAGCUUUAUUUGACAAUACAUCCCAAUUAAUCUUGUGUGGGGACAGGGAGCACAGGCUGUGCCACCAUCUCACCAACCAGAGACUCUCAGUAAGUGGUCAAGGUGGCUAGAACCAUUAUCAUCAUACAUGCACAAGACAACCCCUUGGCAAUAUACUAUUAUUGUUCCAUUUUCCAACUAAAAAUUUAAGCUUGUAGAAUAUAACUUUAAAUGUCAGGCAAAGACAAGAAGUCCAUCCUUUUUGAACAGGACAAUGAGACCACAAUACUAAGUUCAAGGAUGCAAUACUUUAACUAGAUAGUAGGGUAUCUGGAUCAAAUUAGGAAUGAAGCAAAGUCAUUUUUCUGGGAGGUGUGGGAAAAAGGUUUCAGCUAGCAUGACAUCAUCAGACCAGAGCUCUGAAUUCACUGGGGAUGUUAGAUGAGCCCAUUAUAUCUGGUAACCUUUGAUUUUGCCUGUGAAAGUAGAGAGAGCCUGCCAUGAUCCAAAGAACUAACA